GCUGGGUGCGGUGGUGCAUGCCUGUAAUCCCAGUGACUCGGGAGGCUGAGGAAGGAGGAUCAUGAGUUCAAACCCAGCCUCAACAACUUAGUGAGGCUUUAAGCAACUUGGUGAGACCCUGUCUCUA
rnacentral:sRNA from 1 species